UGGCGCUGUAUAUAUUGUUGUAUUUUUAGUUACUAUAGAAACUUGUUUAGUACCAUGCAAACUUUGUUUAUUAUAUAAAGGUUACUUAAAUUGUAUAUUAUUGUGAUUUUUGUAAUUUAUUAAGAAUUCAAAUAUUUGGUUGGACGGCAAGCGCGCGAUCCAACAAUCCAACCAUCCAACUUUCCAACUAUCCAACAAUCCAACAAUCCAACAUUGACGUAAUUUCGACG
rnacentral:lncRNA from 1 species